ACUCCUACGGGAGGCAGCAGUGGGGAAUCUUGUCCAAUGGGCGAAAGCCUGAGACAGCGACGCCGCGUGCGGGAAGAAGGCCUUCGGGUUGUAAACCGCUUUCAGGAGGGAAGAAGCGAAAGUGACGGUACCUCCACAAGAAGCCCCGGCCAACUACGUGCCAGCAGCCGCGGUAAUACGUAGGGGGCGAGCGUUGUCCGGAAUUAUUGGGCGUAAAGAGCACGUAGGCGGUCCUUCAAGUCGGAAGUGAAAUCUCAAGGCUUAACCUUGAAACUGCUUUCGAUACUGGGGGACUUGAGGCAGCUAGGGGAGUGUGGAAUUCCUGGUGUAGCGGUGAA
rnacentral:rRNA from 1 species